AGGGAAGAAACAACUCGCUGUUAAAAGAUGGAGACACCUGGUGGGUGACCCAUCCAGAAUCACACGGUUAAAUACUGCGCCCAGCCCGCCCGCGGUAAAAGGGUAGGUGGCGAAGGGUGUUCUCGAACAUCAUUGGUGCCAGAAGGGGCUCCCCGGCGGGUUCUCUUAUAGUGUGACGUGAAAAGCCCCCCGGCUCUAACCGGGGAGGGUCACUGGAAAUUGGGGAACUUGAGCGCAGAAGAGGAGAGUGGAAUUUCACGUGUCGCGGUGAAAUGUGUAGAGAUGUCGAGGAACACCAGUGGCGAAGGCGACUCUUUUGUCUGUAAUUGACGCUGAGGAGAGAAAGCGUGGGGAGCGAACAGGAUUAGAUACCCUGGUAGUCCACGCCGUAAACGAUGAGUGAUAAGUGUUAGGGGGUUUCCGCCCCUUAGUGCUGCAGGUAACGCAUUAAGCACUCCGCCUGGGGAGUACGGUCGCAAGACUGCAACUCAAAGGAAUUGACGGGGGCCCGCACAAGCGGUGGAGCAUGUGGUUUAAUUUGAAGCAACGCGAAGAACCUUACCAGGUCUUGACAUCCUCUGACAAUCCUAGAGAUAGGACGUCCCCUUCGGGGGCAGAGUGACAGGUGGUGCAUGGUUGUCGUCAGCUCGUGUCGUGAGAUGUUGGGUUAAGUCCCGCAACGAGCGCAACCCUUGAUCUUAGUUGCCAGCAUUCAGUUGGGCACUCUAAGGUGACUGCCGGUGACAAACCGGAGGAAGGUGGGGAUGACGUCAAAUCAUCAUGCCCCUUAUGACCUGGGCUACACACGUGCUACAAUGGACAGAACAAAGGGCAGCGAAACCGCGAGGUUAAGCCAAUCCCACAAAUCUGUUCUCAGUUCGGAUCGCAGUCUGCAACUCGACUGCGUGAAGCUGGAAUCGCUAGUAAUCGCGGAUCAGCAUGCCGCGGAAGGUAUAU
rnacentral:rRNA from 1 species